CCUAGAUGUUGAUUGUCCCUCUCUUCUGUACCCACCCUACCAUGACAAUGACUUCGAGUUCCUGCAUUGUCCCUUGAUCCUGGCGCGGAUACGCGACCGACCGUUUUUAUGAUUUCGAAGAUUCAUUUCAAUUCACAAUGAUUCAUUAAUAUAAGCUUAUAUAUGGGGAAAUAUGUGUAUAUGGUUCCGAAUAGCACUAUAUAUGUGUGUGUGCAAUGUGUAUGUUUGCUCGCACUUGGGAAUUAAGGAUCUUUCCGUUUUCCUUAAUCUCAUAAUUAUUGCGAAUCUCCUCCCGUAAUCGAUUCGCAACUGGAUGGCCUCCAACAUGGUGAUAGGACUAACGCGGUCUUUCUUCUCAGGCAUUUAUCCGGCAAAGGCGAUUUCAAAGUCAUAUUCGUUAAAGCUCUCCCUCCAAAUGAGGGUCUGCGCUACGACAUCUUUACAACAGUUCACUUUGCCGUGGCAUCGAAGAACACUGCAUUCAGAUUCGAUAGAAGCCGAUUCGAAUGGGAAUGUCAAUGCAUUCGAGUCAAAUUUCGUUAAUGACAGCAUCCGCAUGACCGUUUAUUCGGGCACAACGGAUCCGAAGCUAUAGCCAUUCACUACUGAGGGAGCAGCAGCAGCAACUGCCGUGCGGUUUCCGUUUGUCAUGAUGCCUGCCCCAGGAUGACAGCUACGACACCGCACACAGAACCGGAUAGGGAUACAGAGGCGGAUAAGCGAUUUGGCCUUUGUCACGUUGGAGUUGCAGCACGGGCACAGGAGAGAUGACAGGGAUGAAGCAGAUUGCUAAGGAUUGCAAAUCAAAUGUAUUCUCUCUCUGCCUGGAAAUGUGCUAUGAACAUCCUGUUAAAGUGCAUUUAAAAUAAGUAAUAGUUCCAUAAAAUCUGUUAUAAAUACAUAUUCAAAUAAAUCCAUACCAAAUCUUUUAAAUAAUAUUAUUUCAUUAGUUAGGCUAACGCUAUUGGCCAUUUCAGGACGAUCCUUUGAUCGAUAUGUAAAUCAGAACAACGGACAGAUCGAAAAAAAGAAAUACCAUCUAAAUGUCAAGCCCUACCUGUAAUUUUUAAACAUUCAAGCAAGCUGGGAUUUUUAUGUCUCUAUUCAAAAAAGUUAGUAUACACAAAGUUCACAAGAAAAUUCUCAGUUAAUAUCGAUGAAAUUUUUCUUUCCGUUUUCAUCAAUCAAAGCAAAAUUUAUUUUGUUAUACCCGACCUGCAUUCGAAAGAAUCAUUUGUGCUGUUCUCAGGAGCGAACGACUCUAUCCGCCAGUUGGUAGAAAUAGUUGUUUAAUGGAACAACUCGAUGGAUACAACCGACAUAACGCAGCCUAGUUUUUUAUACGUCGUUCAAUCGUUUACCUUCGAGAAGAGCCCGAAGCAUCAGAGGCAGUCCUCCAUGGAUCGAGCUUGCCAAGGUCAAGAAGGACUUUUGUAACGAUGUCAUAGAGCAGACCCUCAGAUGGAGCGGGAGCUUCAACGAUUAUGCCUCUGAUAUCGCUUUCGCCGGACCAAUACCUCAGAAGAUGGGCCUCGUUGUUCCCAUCACAUGCUAGAGGCACGGUGGUGAAUCGAUUAUGAAUGGGAGAAGAUCGGCAAUAAUUAUAAGAGUAGGAAAAACUCUAUGGAAAGGGAAAUAUCUGCACGGAACAGAGAAACGCGGCCGCCACCAAAGAGGCCCUCGAUAUCAACAGAUGACUGUAACUGAACUCAAAGGACGGCGCACAAAUAGGUUUGGUCGUAUGCUCAGGUCUAGCUCGCCGGAUGGUCGGCGUUCUUCCUCACCUAAUUGUACUAUCGUACUCCACUACAUUUAUAUAG
rnacentral:sRNA from 1 species